rnacentral:rRNA from 1 species
AUUGAACGCUGGCGGCAGGCUUAACACAUGUAAGUCGAGCGGGGGAAGGUAGCUUGCUACCGGACCUAGCGGCGGACGGGUGAGUAAUGCUUAGGAAUCUGCCUAUUAGUGGGGGACAACAUCUCGAAAGGGAUGCUAAUACCGCAUACGUCCUACGGGAGAAAGCAGGGGAUCUUCGGACCUUGCGCUAAUAGAUGAGCCUAAGUCGGAUUAGCUAGUUGGUGGGGUAAAGGCCUACCAAGGCGACGAUCUGUAGCGGGUCUGAGAGGAUGAUCCGCCACACUGGGACUGAGACACGGCCCAGAGUCCUACGGGAGGCAGCAGUGGGGAAAAUUGGACAAUGGGGGGAACCCUGAUCCAGCCAUGCCGCGUGUGUGAAGAAGGCCUUAUGGUUGUAAAGCACUUUAAGCGAGGAGGAGGCUACUCUAGUUAAUACCUAGGGAUAGUGGACGUUACUCGCAGAAUAAGCACCGGCUAACUCUGUGCCAGCCGCCGCAGUAA